rnacentral:misc_RNA from 1 species
GGUGAAGAACGUAGCGAAAUGCGAUACGUAAUGUGAAUUGCAGAAUUCAGUGAAUCAUCGAAUCUUUGAACGCACAUUGCGCCUGCCAGCACUCUGGCAGGCAUGCCUGUUCGAGCGUCAUUUCAACCAUCAAGCCCUAGGCUUGCGUUGGAGCCCUGCGGCUGCCGCAGGCCCCUAAAAGCAGUGGCGGGCUCGCUAUCACACCGAGUGCAGUAGAUUACUCUUCGCUCAGGGCGUGUGGCGGGUUCCAGCCGUGAAACCCCCUACUUCUCAAGGUUGACCUCGGAUCAGGUAGGAAUACCCGCUGAACUUAAGCAUAUCAAUAAGCGGAGGA